UACGGGGGGGGCAAGCGUUGUCCGGAAUUAUUGGGCGUAAAGCGCGCGCAGGCGGUCCUUUAAGUCUGAUGUGAAAGCCCACGGCUCAACCGUGGAGGGUCAUUGGAAACUGGGGGACUUGAGUGCAGAAGAGGAAAGCGGAAUUCCACGUGUAGCGGUGAAAUGCGUAGAGAUGUGGAGGAACACCAGUGGCGAAGGCGGCUUUCUGGUCUGUAACUGACGCUGAGGCGCGAAAGCGUGGGGAGCAAACAGG
rnacentral:rRNA from 1 species